UCGCUACUACCGAUUGAAUGAUUUAGUGAGUACCACGGACUGAAGCGCUUGGUUGGGUUUCCUUCCUUGCGUUUCAGGAAGUGUCGCAAACUUGACCAUUUAGAGGAAGUAA
rnacentral:rRNA from 1 species